GCCGGGUGAAAAAAGUAAAAGAGCGAAAAAUAUGAAGAGCGAAAGAGGCAGCGGCGGUGUGGUGCUCUGCUCGAACACACGAUACACCUAUAAUUGCACAUAGAGCCUGUGGGUUAGGUCGGCCUAUAACGUAUCGUCGAUCAAUAGCUGGAAAAUGGCCGGAAGCCAAGUCCGCGACCGAUGUCGUUUCGAAUUUUGCCGUUGUCACUGAAGGGGAAACGAUCGAGGCUCUCUCUAACCCCUUUUUUAUUCUUCGUUUUUUUCUUUCCCUUUUACUAUUCAGUCCAGUGUCCCACUUGUUCUCGCGAACGAGAUUCCUCUCCCCUCCGGGCCUUCCCAACUCUUAUAUUCAACACCGAUACGAAACUCUUCGCAAUGUUGGUUUCCUCGUCGUCUCUGUACAAGUCUCUACCUGUCAUCUCUCUGUUUUUGGCCCUUUUUUUCUCUCACUCUCGCUUACAACCUUUUCCUCUCUUUUCGCUCGCCGCUUUCUUGCUUCCUCCGUUCUUUUUUCAAUUUUUUUUUUCCUCCGGAGCUCCGAACGUCGAGAGGGCUUGGAUAAUUUGAAAUUCAAGUACCCCUCGCCUCGAACUUUUACUCCCAAGAGUAAAAGCCUCCUCGAGGGUUUCAAUGGGAGAGCCUCAUUUUGAGCCGUCGUUAUUCACACCCUCGUGAAAAGUUUCGCUAACGUGCAAUCGAUCGAUUUACAAAUUUGUGCUUUUCAAUGAAAAAAUUUACAUUAUAAAAAUUCUUUUACCACCUUUUCGUGAUAACUUUUCAUGUGCUCGUUCUUCGGUGAAGUUCAAACUUUUUUGAGUUCGUAGUGUGUGAUCCGAACCAGGAAAAAUUAUUUGCCAGCGUUGCCAUAGGACGUCGCCUUGUGACGUUUUCAAAGAAAAACAGUCCAGUCGACGGAACUGGAACGGGACGUUUGAACCAGUGAAAAUGGAAGCGAAAAAUAAAAAGUGAAGAAGACUGCGUAGUUUGCUUUGAGCUAUACGACGAAGAGCAGCUUUAAUGUUAAAGGUGUUAAAUUUGAAUUGGAAAAGCCUGUGCAGGUAUUCCGGGAACUUGAGAAGACAUCAUUGGUUGCCAUGAUUGCAAAAGUUACCGAAAGCUGCAUCAAACUGCGUUUCUGAAGAUGGAUUCGUUAAAGUUUGUCAUCAAAUCUCGUGGCUGUGCAUAAUCUCAUCGACAGUUAACAGCACAGAGCUAUCUGAGAGUACACACCGGCCGGAGCGUCAAUUCGAGAGAAGUUUAGCUAGUGUGUAACAGUUUCCUACAGGUCUCCGCACACCACUGAAGGACCGCAGGUCGCGUCAUAUCGCACUGGAAAAUGUGAAGGCGCGCACAGUACGAGAAGGCUCGGUUGCAGCGCAUCGCGUUAAGUUGGAAAAUCUUCAGUUCAGUAAGAGCUGCGUAUUGUUUGUGAGCAGUCACAUGAGCAAGUCAUAUUUAAGGAAGAAAUGAGUAAAAAAACUACGAAAUAAUAAAAUGCGCGUUUUUAACUCCA